AGUAUCUCUAGACGAAAUGCCAAUGAGAAAAUUUAAUCCAAUAAUGGACAUUGCUGUACGUUACAUGUCAAACUUGAGAUGCUUAUGCGGUAAAACUUUUUGCACUUUAGUGGGUAAACAGUAAUUUUGAUAAUAUAUAAAAAUAUAGGAAUAAUGAGUGAUAAAACGUUACUUGAUAUCGAUGAUACGAUGUUGACGAAAAAUUUAUUGUUAUCUGAAAAUAAACAUGAAUAUGAUAUAGAUGAAAUAUUAAAGCAACAGUUUGAAACGAAACCUAAAUGCAUUAUUAUUCAUCCUUUACCUGGCGUUUGUGUAAAAACAAAAACGGAUACAGGUGAAAAAGUGUUUUUAAAUGUAUGCACGACGACUAAAAUACCUGAACCAGAGGACAUAUCGGAAGAGAAACUAAUUUCUCUUUUGGACGAAGAAACGCCUGCUUAUUCUAUACCGAUGAGUAUUGGCGAAGAGAGAUUAGAACCCGAUAAAGGUGGUACCUUGUGCGUGACUCAUGACGUUGCGAUAAAUAAGAAUUAUUUUGAAAAAUGUCAAACUAAACAUUCCUUCUGGUUAUUUACGAUAUCUGUUAUAAUCGAAGGUGUAUCGCAUAAAUUUGGUAGAUCUCUGGAUUCCAAAACUUGUAUUAUUCUGAAAAACCGAAAAGUCAUGGGUACAAUUCAGUCGCAACGUAUUGAUGAUCGUGAAGCGCGUAAAGUAUUACCAACGCCUAAAAAACCAUUAAUUCAGGAAAUAUCAAGUUCUUCGAAGAGCGACUGUAAUCGGUCAGCCACCCUGGUAAAUAAUCGUGAAGAAUUUACGACUAACAAUUACGUAAUAUUGAAAGAACCUUUGAAAGGAAUUGCAAGGCGUUUAAUUGGUUUAUUUUAUAUACCCAAAGGGGUAUCUGGUAAAGAUUUAAAUGUGCUUGUUGACGCUGAUCAUAUAAUUAUUACAACGAAUGAGAACAAUUUCGCGUACGAUGUUUACAUACCUUAUACCAUAAAGUUGGACGAAACGGAAAGUUUCUUCGAUAAAGAUUAUAGAGUAAGUAAAUGUAAAGUAAAAGUCGCAAAAUAUUACUUUAACAUUAUUUCCUGUAUCUUUAUGUCAUAUAGGUUUUGCGAUUAAAUAUGCCGAUCGAAAAUAAAUAGUGAUUAAAGUUAAAGUAACGAGCAAUGUAUGGAGAGGAGGAAACACACACGGCCCUAAAAUAAUAUACAUAUAAUACCAAGUUUUAUUUGUACAAUAAAUGCUCAUCUACGAAGCUUAAAAUUAUUUGAAUACAAUAGAGAUUUAAACGAA